rfam:Gossypium raimondii chromosome 8, whole genome shotgun sequence.
AUCCCAUUAUGAGGGCAAUUUUGUAAUAAUUCCUGAAAUCGCUCCCAAGCCUCAUAUAAGGAUUCAUCAUCAAGUUGUUAGAAUGUAGUAAUCUCAAUUCAAUGCUU